CUAUAAAAGAUUUUCUUUCAUCCACGCCACUUAGAGAUUUCUACAUGGAGACACCUCUUCUAACCCUCCUCCAUCUCUGAGCGAUUAAGACAACAAUUUGGUUGGUGAUAACGGUCUGGUUCCAGGAUGGUUUCUGGGUUGGAUUCUCAAAGAUGUUACAAGGUGCUAAGAUUGUCAGGAGGACACUUCCCAGCUGUGUGACCCUGGGAAUCUGUCUGUAGGAAGAUGCCUCCUAUUUGACUCAUAUGGUCCUUUUGAGUGCCUUUUUGACUCUUCUCUUUUGGAGGAAACCCUAGACGCGAGCCGUAACCAACGAUAUAAGUAAAAUCAUCUCCAGGGAUCACCCUGGUGCAAUUAUCAAUAACAUGGAAACAGGUCUUGAUCAAUGACACGAGUAAAACCCAGUGGAAUUGUGCAUCGGCUAUGGGGGACGAUGGGGAAGAACAUGAAUCAUGGAAUCGUGGGAAAAUAUUCUAAAUGAAUUAAUUAAAUAAAAAAUUUCA